GCCUCCCUCAGUCCCUCGAUCCAGCGUCUCUCGCUCACCUAAACGCACACGCACGACACAUCUCCUCCCUCAGUCCCUCAAUCCAGAUCCAGAUCCACAUCGCCUCCGCCUCCCUCUCCCCGAUCCAGAUCGCCGUCGCCGCCCCUCCGCCACCCAAUGCCAUCCAUCCUCCCUUCCUUUGCCGGCGUCCCUUCCUCCCAACAACCUCUUUGCCCGCGUCCAUGGCAAGGAUCCGAAGCAGGUGAGCCGGCGACGGCCAUGGCGCAUCUCUCUUCCUCACCCCAUAGCCGGCGGCGGCCAUGGCGCAUCUCUUCCUCACCCCAUAGCCUGCGGCAGCCAUGGCACAUCUCAUCCUCACCCCAUAGCUGGUGGCGGCCAUGGCAGGUCACCAGAGACGGCCGGUGCGGGAGGGCUUCAACUCUUCUCAGGCGGGGCUGCCGUCGUCAAGGUCAGCGCCAGCGGGAAGACCCAGGUGGGAGGGCGGGGCGAGGAAGAAGCCCCCGUUCCGCCUCGCAGCGGACGACACCAAGCCCGUGCUCCGCGAACCGAUCCCGCGUUCUGAACACAUGGAGACCGAGUAGGCCGUGCUGUGGCUGGCGCCCUUCCCCUGAAGUCCGGCCACGUCCUAAUGGAUGCUUGAAGUACAUCAGCGUUGAGAUGUGGCAGGUUAUUGCUAUGAAGUUCAGUGACUUGCACAUCGCUUCCUUAUGUUCUUUUUACUUCCAGAGCUAUAGUGCUCUCAUACUAUCAUUGCAUUGCCUACUGUUUUGUUGCAUACCUAUAUCUCAAGUAUUAUACUUAGUUUUGUUUAGACGGAAAACUACUGGUGUGAUAUGCAAACAACAACGGAGCUAGUGAUGCUAUGUUAACAAUAAUGUGUAUCAAUUCUAGCUUAUAUUGGUAUCUUGCGAUCCUGUUCUAAUUAAUGUAUAUAUUGCAAGCCCUUAUUUUCCUGUCUAAAUGCGUGCACCGAAGUUCAAUUACUUUAUGAGAAAGUGUACUGAAACGUGGAGACUUUACACCUUGCAAGAUCAUUCGGUGGUGGUGACCCAUAUGAUGGCGAUUCGCCCUGGCCAUUCCAGUUUUGGCGGUGGUGGUGUUGCUGCUCCUAUGAUGGUAGACUCGUCUGCCUCCCCUAGCCGCAUCCGUGGUGAUGAAGCUCGGCCUAGGCUACAACCCCCUCCGGUGAUUGACGAGCUGAUCUUCUUCCACCAGUGGUAGGGGAGUGAUGCUGGAGCAGUACAUCGAUCAGCAGAUCACCCUGCCAUUUGGGCAAGGAGAGGAUGGGAUGGCCCUAAUGCAGUAACAUCACCAUGUGGCAAAUCCAGGAGAUGGACACACCAUUGGUGCCUGGGUGAUGGGAUAAAGUAAUUGUACUAGUGACACGAUAUUUGUGCUUCCCAUUGAUGUUAUGUGUGAACUGCUAAAAUGUGUGCUUCUCGUCCAAUCUAUGUUGAUGUGCGCUCGUGCAAUUGUUGGGUUUUUUGCUGUGCACUUGCACUUGUAGAACUAUUUUUUGUGGACUUGUUGGGCCAUGAACCCUGCUGUGUAGAGGAGAUGAUUGAUGAUUUAUUGUA